rnacentral:tRNA from 1 species
GCGCCCGUAGCUCAGCUGGACAGAGCGCAAGGUUGCGGACCUUGAGGCCGCAGGUUCGAGCCCUGCCGGGCGCA